rnacentral:rRNA from 1 species
AGCAGCAGCCGCGGUAAUACGUAGGUGGCAAGCGUUGUCCGGAAUUAUUGGGCGUAAAGGGCUCGCAGGCGGUUUCUUAAGUCUGAUGUGAAAGCCCCCGGCUCAACCGGAGAGGGUCAUUGGAAACUGGGAAACUUGAGUGCAGAAGAGGAGUGUGGAAUUCCACGUGUAGCGGUGAAAUGCGUAGAGAUGUGGAGGAACACCAGUGGCGAAGGCGACUCUCUGGUCUGUAACUGACGCUGAGGAGCGAAAGCGUGGGGAGCGAACAGGAUUAGAUACCCCAGUAGUCCCUGUCUCUUAUAA